rnacentral:rRNA from 1 species
GACAGAGGGUGCAAACGUUGUUCGGAAUUACUGGGCAUAAAGCGCACGUAGGUGGUUCGCUAAGUCGCGUGUGAAAUCCCCCGGCUCAACCGGGGAAAUGCGCGUGAUACUGGCGGGCUUGAGAUCGGGAGGGGUGAAUGGAACUCCAGGUGGAGCGGUGAAAUGCGUAGAUAUCUGGAGGAACACCGGUGGCGAAAGCGGUUCACUGGCCCGACACUGACACUGAGGUGCGAAAGCUAGGGUAGCAAACGGG